rnacentral:lncRNA from 11 species
AGCAGAUGGAACCAGGUAGCUUAAAAUGACAGAUCUGGGAAAGAAAAGCAGUCAAGAAGCUGUAUUUGAACUUUAUUAUUUGAUUAAUUGAUGGUAUUUGUUUAUCACCUCUCAACCCACUGCUUUGUGUGCCCACCAGCCUUGAUUUGUAGGAUGAUGGAAUAUGCCACAGGACUUGUACAUAUGAGGAAAGACUCCAGGAGCUCGAAGAACGGGAUGGCACUGCCACCCCCAAUUGCCCCCUAA